GGAGGACGCUCACCACUUUGUGGUUCAUGACUGGGGUGAAGUCGUAACAAGGUAGCCCUAGGGGAACCUGGGGCUGGAUCACCUCCUUAACGAUAGAU
rnacentral:rRNA from 1 species